GAGUGAAAGAAGAGAAGGAAACAAAAAGAACGUAAUGAAUGAACAAUGAGUGAGAGAAGAGAGCGUUCAUUCCUUGUUCCUUUCUUCUUUGUUCCUUUUGUUUUCAAUUAAAUUACAAUGGAAUGAAAUGUAAGCGUGAAUUUAAUUGAAAAACAAAAGAGAACAAAGACAAAGGAACGUAAUGUGUGUUUUAUUUGUUUCUU
rnacentral:ribozyme from 1 species